UGAAGAACGCAGCGAAUUGCGAUAAGUAAUGUGAAUUGCAGAAUUCAGUGAAUCAUCGAAUCUUUGAACGCAGCUUGCGCUCUCUGGUAUUCCGGAGAGCAUGCCUGUUUCAGUGUCA
rnacentral:rRNA from 1 species